ACAUACGACCAUACCUACCAGAAAAUACGGGAUCCCGUCCGCUCUCCCUUAGUCAAGCUGGUAAGGGACGGAUUAGUAGUUGGGUCGGUGACGACCAGCGAAUCCCCGCUGUUGUAUGUU
rnacentral:rRNA from 1 species